CUGAAACACAGACAUUUAAAUAUCACCUCUGCUGGCCCUACCAGUGGGAUGGGGAUUUCUGUGUGCAUCCUUCUGAGCUCCAUUUGCUCAUCCUAGAAAGCAGAAAUGAGCCUGCAGAGCUCUGCUGGCCAGCACGGAUGGAAGGGGAGCUGGGAGUGCAGAGAUGUUGGGGACAGAGGAGAAGGAAGGUACAGCUGUGCCAACAUGGAGAACCUUAUAUGGUGAUCAGAGCCCUGAAGUAGAAGAUAUAAAGAAUUGAAGAUUUUUAAGUAAACUGUUUUUUUUCUAGACCAACAAUUUUCAUUAUUCUAGCUCUAUCCACCAGAAAGUAAAAAUCCAUGGGCAAAUUCCAGGAGACUGAAUGCUGACUCUCAUGGCUUUGUGUGCCUUUUCCUGGAAACUACAAUGAAGAAAGACAGAGCAUGAUGCACAGAUUUCCAGUAGCCUGUCUAUAGAUAAGAAAAUAGAAACAAUCAAGCUUGUAGAUAGCAACCUACCAGUUUCCAAUAUCCUUGGAAAAAAACUUUUUCCAGCACAACUGCAAUUUCCCAGUGAGAACAUUUUAGGCUUGUUAGAUGGUAAGUUUUAAUUUUGAACUGCACAUAAACAGAAACAUCAAAGAGGCUGUAAUAUCUAUCCUCAACAACCAGGGAAAUUUAAGAAAAAAACCGCAACCCCAGACAAAACAGAAAAAAACUUACAC